GUCGAACGGUAACAGGGAAAAGCUUGCUUUUCCGCUGACGAGUGGCGCACGGGUGCGUAACGCGUAUACAAUCUACCUUCAAGCGGGGGAUAGCCCAUGGAAACGUGGAUUAAUACCCCAUGGUAUUAUGAUCUCACCUGGAAUUAUAAUUAAACAUUUAUGGCUUGAAGAUGAGUAUGCGUCCUAUUAGCUAGAUGGAGUGGUAACGGCACCCCAUGGCAACGAUAGGUAGGGGUCCUGAGAGGGAGAUCCCCCACACUGGUACUGAGACACGGACCAGACUCCUACGGGAGGCAGCAGUGAGGAAUAUUGGACAAUGGAGGCAACUCUGAUCCAGCCAUGCCGCGUGCAGGAAGACUGCCCUAUGGGUUGUAAACUGCUUUUAUACAGGAAGAAACCUCUCCACGUGUGGGGAGCUGACGGUACUGUAAGAAUAAGGAUCGGCUAACUCCGUGCCAGCAGCCGCGGUAAUACGGAGGAUCCAAGCGUUAUCCGGAAUCAUUGGGUUUAAAGGGUCCGUAGGCGGAUUUAUAAGUCAGUGGCGAAAGUCUGCAGCUUAACUGUAGAAUUGCCAUUGAUACUGUAGAUCUUGAGUUGUUAUUGAAGUGGUUGGAAUGAGUAGUGUAGCGGUGAAAUGCAUAGAUAUUACUCAGAACACCUAUUGCGAAGGCAGAUCACUAAUAACAUACUGACGCUGAUGGACGAAAGCGUAGGUAGCGAACAGGAUUAGAUACCCUGGUAGUCUACGCCGUAAACGAUGGUCACUAGCUGUUCGGUCUAAUUGAGGGCUGAGUGGUUAAGCGAAAGUGAUAAGUGACCCACCUGGGGAGUACGUUCGCAAGAAUGAAACUCAAAGGAAUUGACGGGGGCCCGCACAAGCGGUGGAGCAUGUGGUUUAAUUCGAUGAUACGCGAGGAACCUUACCAGGGCUUAAAUGCAGUUGGACAGGAGUGGAAACACUCCCUUCUUCGGACUAAUUGCAAGGUGCUGCAUGGUUGUCGUCAGCUCGUGCCGUGAGGUGUCAGGUUAAGUCCUAUAACGAGCGCAACCCCUGUGGUUAGUUGCCAGCACGUAAUGGUGGGAACUCUAGCCAGACUGCCGGUGCAAACCGCGAGGAAGGUGGGGAUGACGUCAAAUCAUCACGGCCCUUACGUCCUGGGCUACACACGUGCUACAAUGGUAGGGACAGAGGGCAGCUACCCCGCGAGGGGAUGCGAAUCUUCAAACCCUAUCACAGUUCGGAUCGCAGUCUGCAACUCGACUGCGUGAAGCUGGAAUCGCUAGUAAUCGCACAUCAGCCAUGGUGCGGUGAAUACGUUCCCGGGCCUUGUACACACCGCCCGUCAAGCCAUGGAAGCCGGGGGUACCUGAAGUCGGU
rnacentral:rRNA from 1 species